AGAACUUAGCAGAGAUGCUUUGGUGCCUUCGGGGAACUCUGAGACAGGUGCUGCAUGGCUGUCGUCAGCUCGUGUUGUGAAAUGUUGGGUUAAGUCCCGCAACGAGCGCAACCCUUAUCCUUUGUUGCCAGCGGUCCGGCCGGGAACUCAAAGGAGACUGCCAGUGAUAAACUGGAGGAAGGUGGGGAUGACGUCAAGUCAUCAUGGCCCUUACGAGUAGGGCUACACACGUGCUACAAUGGCGCAUACAAAGAGAAGCGACCUCGCGAGAGCAAGCGGACCUCAUAAAGUGCGUCGUAGUCCGGAUUGGAGUCUGCAACUCGACUCCAUGAAGUCGGAAUCGCUAGUAAUCGUAGAUCAGAAUGCUACGGUGAAUACGUUCCCGGGCCUUGUACACACCGCCCGUCACACCAUGGGAGUGGGUUGCAAAAGAAGUAGGUAGCUUAACCUUCGGGAGGGCGCUUACCACUUUGUGAUUCAUGACUGGGGUGAAGUCGUAACAAGGUAAGCGUAGCGAG
rnacentral:rRNA from 1 species